UGUUCAGUAACUCCUAUCCCAGCCUCCCCGUGGUGCCGCUUGAGAUAUGAGUAACCUUAGGGAAGAUCGGGUAACCAACCCCGGUGAAUGCUGACAGGGAAGG
rnacentral:ribozyme from 1 species